rnacentral:rRNA from 1 species
AAUUCCGGUGAAGAUGCCGGAUACCUGCGACAGGACGGAAAGACCCCAUGGAGCUUUACUGUAGCUUGACAUUGGGUCUUGGUACUACAUGUACAGGAUAGGUGGGAGGCUUUGAAACCAGGACGCCAGUUUUGGCGGAGCCAUCCUUGGGAUACCACCCUUGUAGUACUGGGACUCUAACCAUAGGCCAUGAAUCUGGUCUUGGGACACUGUCAGGUGGGCAGUUUGACUGGGGCGGUCGCCUCCCAAAAGGUAACGGAGGCGCUCAAAGGUUCUCUCAGUACGGUCGGAAAUCGUACGUAGAGUGUAAAGGCAAAAGAGAGCUUGAUUGCAAGACAUACAGGUCGAGCAAGGAUGAAAAUCGGACUUAGUGAUCCGGUGGUUCUGCGUGGAAGGGCCA